AACGAACGCUGGCGGCAGGCUUAACACAUGCAAGUCGAGCGCCCCGCAAGGGGAGCGGCAGACGGGUGAGUAACGCGUGGGAAUCUACCCAUCUCUACGGAAUAACGCAUGGAAACGUGUGCUAAUACCGUAUACGUCCUUCGGGAGAAAGAUUUUUCGGAGAUGGAUGAGCCCGCGUUUGAUUAGCUAGUUGGUGGGGUAAAGGCCUACCAAGGCGACGACCCAUAGGGGGUCUGAGAGGAUGAUCAGACACACUGAGACUGAGACACGGCCCAGACUCCUACGGGAGGAAGCGGUGGGUAAUAUUGGACAAUGGGCGCAGGCCUGAUCCAGCCAUGCCGCGUGAGUGAUGAAGGCCCUAGGGUUGUAAAGCUCUUUCACCGGUGAAGAUAAUGACGGUAACCGGAGAAGAAGCACCGGCUAACUUCGUGCCAGCAGCCGCCGUAA
rnacentral:rRNA from 1 species